rnacentral:misc_RNA from 1 species
AACGCACAUUGCGCUCUCUGGUAUUCCGGAGAGCAUGCUUGUUUGAGUAUCAGUAAAACACCCUCAAUUCUCUCGUUUUUCGAGGAAAUUGGACUUGAGCGAUCCCAACGGCGGUUUAAAAACCCGCUGGCGGGUCGCUUGAAAUGCAGGUGCGGCUGGACACAUCUUCUGAGCUAUAAGCAUUACUUAUUUAGUCCCGUCAAACGGAUUAUUUCUAUUGCUGCAGCUAACAUAAAGGUUGAUUGUCCUGUGCCCGACUGAUGCAGGAAAACAAAGAGAAAUCUUUGUUCAACUCGAUCUCAAAUCAAGUAAGACUACCCGCUGAACUUAA